GACUUCCGGGGUGGCGCCUCCGGAAAAUGGCGGAAUUCCCUUCGGACUGAAGGGAACCCGCUGCACGGAGGCUUGGGUCCUGCCGCUAUGGCGCAGCGGGGACCCGCAAAAACCACAGGCGGAAGAAGCCUGUGGACGUGGGACUCGGCGGGCACCGAGAGCGCUCUCUCCCCUUGUACAGGAGCUCGGUAACGGGCUCCGGAGUGGGAGGUGCGUGGUGCUGUGAGUCGACUGCUUCCUCCGUGCAGCAAAGCCGCACUGCCGUUAUCGGAGAGCGCUGCCUUUUUCCUGGACAAUUUGGCAUCUAAAAUAUCUAUCCGUGAGUACCUGAUCUUGGAAGAGCUGAACCACUUUUAAGACUGGUGAAUAAACAAAUAAUAUUGGACUUGAAAUUGAACUUAAUUGGGACUCGGAAUGGGAAGGUCUAAACAGGAAGUCGCCUUCCGUUCUUUUGUUAUGUGAAGAAAGCAAAGACAAAAUAUAUUAAAGCUUGAAAAUUAAAUUCUAAGAGAACUAGAAUUCAACAUCUAAGAUUUCUGAACCCCCCCUUCGACUGCAGGAGAAGAAGGGGGUUGUAUUUGGACUCUUCAAUCCUGCGGAAGUGAGUUUAAAAUAAAGCAAUUUUCCACCGCCCUGAACCAGGAGCGGGCUGUCAGAAUUGACGUUCUGAAGUUUAUCUAGCUCGACAGUUAGUUAAAAGAAGGGUAACAUUUUGAUUCUACUGUUGCCUCUUGAAUUUGGAAGGGGGAAUUUUGGAUAAAGUGUUUCUGGAAAAAGAAAGAUUGUUGCUGUUGCUUUUAUUCCUUU
rnacentral:lncRNA from 1 species